rnacentral:rRNA from 1 species
AUGGAUGUGGAUGAGGAUGAGAUUGAGGAGGAGGACGCUGCUGAGGACAACUCUGCUGGCUACUCGCCUUCAUCUUCUGAGCCCUCUUGGGAUAAGAAUCUGAAGAACAAGAUGACGGCUAUGUUAUGCAUGCAGGCCAAGGGGCAAUGCAGGUCUCAUGUUGCUCAGAAGGAGAGUCGCCGCCGCGACAAGCGGAUCUUGAGGACGUUUGGUGAGGACAUAUCCAGCGGGUCUGAGAGGCACAUCACGCCAGAGGCAGACUGGAUGGCGAAGCAGGGCUACAAGUGGACUGAUCCUGAGGAGGACCAGGAGGAGACCGUCCCCGUUGCCGAGUCUAACGAGGAUCGUGACGAGUGA